UACGUAGGUCCCGAGCGUUGUCCGGAUUUAUUGGGCGUAAAGCGAGCGCAGGUGGUUUAUUAAGUCUGGUGUAAAAGGCAGUGGCUCAACCAUUGUAUGCAUUGGAAACUGGUAGACUUGAGUGCAGGAGAGGAGAGUGGAAUUCCAUGUGUAGCGGUGAAAUGCGUAGAUAUAUGGAGGAACACCGGUGGCGAAAGCGGCUCUCUGGUCUGUAACUGACACUGAGGUUCGAAAGCGUGGGUAGCAAACAGG
rnacentral:rRNA from 1 species